GUAAUCUAGAGAAGUGUUUUCCGCGUUGGCCCAUGUACAAGUCCCUUGGAACAGGGCGUCAUAGAGGGUGAGAAUCCCGUCCUUGACAUGGACCCCCAAUGCUUUGUGAUACACUUUCAACGAGUCGAGUUGUUUGGGAAUGCAGCUCAAAAUGGGUGGUGAAUUCCAUCUAAAGCUAAAUAUUGGCGAGAGACCGAUAGCGAACAAGUACCGUGAGGGAAAGAUGAAAAGCACUUUGGAAAGAGAGUUAAACAGUACGUGAAAUUGUUGAAAGGGAAACGAUUGAAGUCAGUCAUGCUCUUUGGAUUAAGCCGUUCUGCGGUGUAUUUCAUUGAGCGGGGUCAACAUCAGUUUUGAUCGCUGGAAAAGGGCAGGAGGAAGGUAGCACUCUCGGGUGAACUUAUAGCCUCUUGUCGUAUACAGUGAUUGGGACUGAGGAACGCAGCAUGCCUUUUGGCCGGGAUUCGUCCACGUACAUGCUUAGGAUGUUGACAUAAUGGCUUUAAACGACCCG
rnacentral:rRNA from 1 species